GCAUUCAUUCAACAUUUAUUGAGCACUUGGAGUGCAGAGUCUUAAGAGAGACUUGCAUGUUAAUAAAAUAACCACACAGUGUAACAAAGGUUGUAGUACUUGGUAGGGAGUGGCAUAAAGGAAGGAGUUAUCUACCCUAUUUUGGAUCAUCAGAAGUUUCAAAGCAAAAAACUACAUCAAAGUACAUCAACUUUGUCUUGAAAAAUCGCCAUGCCAACUAAAAAGAAAAAGAUAAUAAUGGAUAAAGGAAAUAGUGAUGGUGUAGAAAUGAGAAAUAAAACAGGAUGCUCAGGUACCUUCAUAUGACUUCAUUCAAUAAAACUACAGCUACGUGUUGG
rnacentral:lncRNA from 1 species